rnacentral:rRNA from 1 species
UACGUAGGUGGCAAGCGUUGUCCGGAUUUACUGGGCGUAAAGGGCGUGCAGGCGGUCUGUUAAGUUCAGGGUGAAAGCUCCCGGCUCAACUGGGAGAGGUCCUUGGAUACUGGCAGACUUGAGGGAGGUAGAGGAGAGUGGAAUUCCCGGUGUAGUGGUGAUAUGCGUAGAUAUCGGGAGGAACACCAGUGGCGAAGGCGGCUCUCUGGGCCUUUCCUGACGCUGAGACGCGGAAAGCGUGGGGAGCGAACCGG